UACGUAGGGGGCUAGCGUUGUCCGGAAUCAUUGGGCGUAAAGAGCGUGUAGGCGGUCCGGUAAGUCCGCUGUGAAAGUCGGGGGCUCAACCCUCGAAUGCCGGUGGAUACUGUCGGGCUAGAGUGCGGAAGAGGCGAGUGGAAUUCCUGGUGUAGCGGUGAAAUGCGUAGAUAUCAGGAGGAACACCGGUGGCGAAGGCGGCCUGCUGGGCAGUUGCUGACACUGAGGCGCGACAGCGUGGGGAGCAAACAGG
rnacentral:rRNA from 1 species